AGCCAUAAGAACUAGUCCUGUAGUUGUUGUGGUUAGCGGUUUUAUCGUGUUUCCAGCACGUUAAAGCCGCGUC
rnacentral:sRNA from 1 species